GGAGGGAAUAUGCUGAUAAUUUAACUGCUCAGAGGAAGGGAACUAAGAUCUUAGCAUAGACUUUGUUAUGCCUGUGCCUACAUUUUGAAGCAAUAAAAGACUUUUAGGGAAAUCAAUGCCUGGAAGUUCUUUGAAGUGUUUCAUUAGCCGGAACCAUAACACUGAGUUGGGCGACGAUGAGGAACAGCUGGGGCCAAUCCUGGAUGUGCAGAUGCAGAGAGAGCCGAGGAGAGGAAGACAGAGGAAGGCAAUGGGGUGGCUCCAUAGGCAAAGUAAAAGUCACUAAGAAGCUACACCCUGGCUGGAUUAUAGAGGCGUGGGAGGUGCUGGUUGACGAAGGCAACGGUUCACGGUGCGGCUUUUUUUUUGUUGAUUUGUUUGCUUCUGAAGUGGUCUGCCUCCAAAGUCUUGGACAUUGAGUCAGCGGAAACACCCCAGGAUGCACAAAGCCCUGGAAGAGAGAAAAAAAGGAAGAAUGAAAAGAUUUAAACUCCUGGAGACAGCUGUUCCUUUCUGUCCAUGGCUACUCCCCCCUCCUCCUCUGUGAAAUAUCCCCCUCCUCUGAGAAAUUGGCCACAAAAUGGGGAAAGUUCCCCAGAGCCCAGCAGCCCAACUUACAUCUUUGGAGCCGUUGUCAGCAGAUGAGCGUCAGUUGAACAGUCCAGAUGACAUCAUCAAGCCAGCGGAAUCCUCCAGGAGAUGACAGGAUUCCUUUGGACACAAAAGAAAGACAUGAGAGAGAGAAAGAAAAAAAAGGAGAAAAAAAGAAAAUAAUAUGCUGCUUAAAAUACGUAUCCCUCUUCAACUAGUAUAUACUUACUUUCAAAUUUUCUGUUCUUUUUACCCAUAAUUAAAACUUUACAUUUUGAAAGAAGGGGUUUUUUUUGUUAUUUUUGACUUUUGUCGCAAGCCUUAGUUCAUUUUGAGUCUUAGCUUUCCUCACUUAGUCUUUGCAGGCUUGGGCUAUUUGCUGAUAUUCUGUCUUAGUUAGUUGCCCCUCUUUCCACCUGUUAUACUCGUCCUUUUUGUCUUUCAAUUUAUCAGAGAG